rnacentral:rRNA from 1 species
GUUAAAAAGCUCGUAGUUGGAUCAAGAGUUCGUCAGUGCAAGGUGGCCUCGCUUGCUCACUUGGCUCCGGUCAUGUGUGCGGCGGCGGAUCAACCCCUUGCGCCAAACUGUCGUCUCUAACAGACCGAAGCGGUUCCCUGUGAGUAGGCCACUUAAUUGGGGCUGAAAGCGUUUACGCAUUACCCACAUGCAUACGGGACGUCGGUCAAAGUUACUGUGAACAAACCAGCGUGUCCAAAACAGGCUUUGCCUGAAUGUUCGAGCAUGGAAUAACAAGGGAUCGAUUCUCUCGGUUCUUUUUGUUGGUCUUUAACCCGAGAAGGAGUAAUUCAGGCCAAGGUGUCUGGGCUGGGUUCCCCUUACCUUCGGGUAAGGCCCCAGUUAGGCCUUGUCCUUACGGGAUAAAUAGGGACUGACGGGGUCGUACGUACUUCCACGUCAGAGGUGAAAUUCUUAGAUCGUGGGAAGACGAACUUCUGCGAAAGCAUUCGACAAGAAUGUCUUCAUUAAUCAAGAACGAGAGUGUGGGGAUC